AUGGCUACGGCAGCACAUAGACUAAAAUUGGAGCAACACAGAGAAGAUUAGCAUGGCCCCUUCACAAGGAUGGCAUGCAAAAUCGUGAAGUGGAACCAAACUCA